rnacentral:rRNA from 1 species
UACGGAGGGAGCUAGCGUUAUUCGGAAUUACUGGGCGUAAAGCGCACGUAGGCGGCUUUGUAAGUUAGAGGUGAAAGCCUGGAGCUCAACUCCAGAAUUGCCUUUGAUACUGCAUGGCUUGAAUCCAGGAGAGGUGAGUGGAAUUCCGAGUGUAGAGGUGAAAUUCGUAGAUAUUCGGAAGAACACCAGUGGCGAAGGCGACUGACUGGACAAGUAUUGACGCUGAGGUGCGAAAGCGUGGGGAGCAAACAGG